GGCACCUGUACUCGUUGCGGUGCAACGAUGGUUAAGGA
rfam:Clostridium sp. C105KSO13 isolate C105KSO131 genome assembly, contig: {contig166}